UACGUAGGGUGCAAGCGUUUAAUCGGAAUACUGGGCGUAAAGCGUGCGCAGGCGGUUUUGUAAGUCUGUCGUGAAAUCCCCCGGGCUCAACCUGGGAAUUGCGAUGGAGACUGCAAGGCUAGAAUCUGGCAGAGGGGGGUAGAAUUCCACGUGUAGCAGUGAAAUGCGUAGAGAUGUGGAGGAACACCGAUGGCGAAGGCAGCCCCCUGGGUCAAGAUUGACGCUCAUGCACGAAAGCGUGGGGAGCAAACAGG
rnacentral:rRNA from 1 species